ACGGGGGGUGCAAGCGUUGUUCGGAAUUACUGGGCGUAAAGGGCGUGCAGGCGGAUUGGCAAGUCAGAUGUGAAAUCCCGGGGCUUAACCCCGGAAGUGCAUUUGAUACUGCUUGUCUUGAGUACGGGAGAGGAAAGGGGAAUUCCCGGUGUAGAGGUGAAAUGCGUAGAGAUCGGGAGGAACACCGGUGGCGAAGGCGGCUUUCUGGACCGGUACUGACGCUGAGGCGCGAAAGCGUGGGGAGCAAACAG
rnacentral:rRNA from 1 species